CUGGAGAGACGUUCCCUUUCUCGUUAAAUGGAGCAGUCCCUGCGUCCUCGGCAAUGGCAUCUACUGCUUGUCAAGAAGGUUGAUGGUAUAAGUGCCUUGUCCACUUCUGAAGGGAGGAUGAGAACGUGGAGGAGGGAUGCAGUGGCAGCUGCUGCUCACAAGAAACUCCAUCAGAGAUAAUGUUACAGACAACUUGAGGUAGAAGAAGGUGGAAGAAUGGCGAUGGGAGGAUGUCAUAGCUGUUGUAUGCCGAUGUGUCCCAUCCCCAAUCUUAAUUUCCAUGUCAUAACUUGAGACAGAUCAAGUCGGCUAGCUUUGUAUUUAAUUUCCAGAUCUUGAAUCGUACCAACAAACGUGUCUAUUACUCAAUUAUUUAUCAUCAAGAGGAUUGAUUAAUGUGUUGUUCAUGUAGCAGCUUUGGAGUGUGUUCAAUACAGAGAAAAGAGAUCAUCUUGGGUUUGUACUUAAAGCAAGGAACCAGGAUAUCAGAAGACAAUAGAAAAUGAGAUAUGUCAGAGAAGACAAGAUCUUCAAAGUGUGAUCUCUUGGAUUAAGAUCAGCCUUGCAUGGGAAAACCAGAUCUGUGCAAAGCUCAUCAAGUGCAGAAAGCUACAAAAUUCUCCAAGAGCACAGAAUUUUAAGCAACCCCACACCAAUCUGCAGGAGGAAGUCCAAACUUGAUUGCUUGGGAGAGAAUAAGGUGCAGUGUAUCCAACGCAUGGCUUAUUUAGCUCAGGAAGACAGCAAGCCCCAUACCCACACCACCACCACCCAACAAAAGGCAACACAGUCAUGAUGAACGAGACAACCUCUUCCAUAUCAUGAUCGAAGUCCCCUUUUCCAUCCUAGUGUCGAGAGAUCAUGAGAGGUAGCAAUGGAACUCUUCUUCCUUUUUCUUUGGUCAAGCCACCCAUGAACCAUGAUCUCUAUAGGAUAUGAAGCCCAAGUUGUGUUUCUUUAACUCCUCUUUCUUGGUAAACGAUAGAUUUGCCACCUACUUUUGUUUCUUUUGCACAUGGAGGAACCUUCAGUUCAUGGCUUCGCCUGUUGACAGGCACAAGGCUGAGAUACUCGAGGCUUUCUUCCCAGAUCGAUCUCAGGCAAGUCCUUGGUGAUCGAGAGCGAGAGGGUGUUGUUUCCUGGAGACUUGGAUGAAUCUUGACGUCUUGACGGGAAAGCUUGUCGCUGCUAGCUGUGGUAUGGACAGAGGAGGUAGGAGACCGAGGCGGUUGCGCUCACAAGUGAAUGGGUCCAAGGCAUUGGAUUCGAGCUACUUCACUGCGGAAUUCUUCUUGGUGCUCGUCUGCCUCACUGCCUCACUGCUGGUUCUUCCCCUCGUGUUGCCCGCACUGCCUCCUCCCCCUUCCUCGCUGCUGUUUGUGCCGAUAGGUAUACUUCUUGUGCUGCUGGUCUUGGCCUUCAUGCCCUCCGAUGCUGGGGACAUCGCCUCUUCCCACUUGUGAGCAGCUAAAAGCUGUCCAGUAUGGAUCAAACUGUUCAUUUCUUCUUCUCCUCCUCGGUUUCAAUGAAGGCACUAUUGCUUCCGGUGGUAGUUUGAGAUAGUUCAUUCCUGAAUCAUUCGGAUGUGGUUUGGCCAUGAGUUGUAAUCUAAGCUAACCAUAACAUUCUUGUGAGGCAUGCGCAAUCAAAGUGACAAAUUCUGAGAGAACUCA